CAUCAUUGCUUCUAUCCAUCACGAUCUUCUUUCCCCAGCAUGAUUAUCAUUUACCUUUCUUCUUCUUACAAGUAGCAUGCUAUUUUUUAGAUUAAAAAGGGGUAUACAAUAAUAAAUAGUUAAUGGUUAAUUAUCAAACAAAUCCUAUAGCAAAUCCAUCGUCUUUAAAAAAAACUGCUAAAAGUACAGAAUGGUGUUGCUAGCACACACUGACGAACGUGUUUCUUGGAGCAGUGCUAUAUGAAAGCUGUAUCCUAGAAGUAUAGCACAUGGUAUGGAAUAUGGCAGCUGCAUUGAUCUUUACUGUGUAAGCAGAGCUGCUGCCAAGACUUACAAGGCCCCAAACAAGAUGUUGGAGCCACUCCCAGAAAACAUGAUACAGCAAUACAAUGACGACCUAGUACCAACUGAAAGUGGCUGAAACACACUUCAACCUCUACUAUCUCUUUGUGUGAUGUCUCAAGAUCUGCUUCAAAGCUGAGAUCUAGCAUACAGGGCAGACAAUGAAUUGUUGCACAAUAUUUCUACAUGACUGUAAAAGGAGGAGAAAAAUCAUUAUUCUCCAGUUCAUUUGCUUUGUACCUGAUCGUCCAAUGGUAGUUCACAGAAGGCUGGAAUAUAUUUAGCCCACUCUACAAGGACCAAGAGCUGUUGCUUCAUAGAUUCACAGACAUCGCUAAUACUGGCAAGUUUCUUUACAUUGAUGUCAGUACUAGCACCAGGACUCGAGACAGGGAUCUAGCCAUGUUAAGCAAAAACAAAAAACAAAACAAAAAAAAUACAGCCUGUUAGUAUUCCAUAUUUGUUACUGUUUCCACUGGCGAGGAGUAUAUUUAACCAAAACACAUGGAAGUAAGCAUGCACAUUAGUGCCGAACUCCCCGACAAUAUAUAGAUGACCAAUAUGCAUGUAAAUGAUAAUGUUUGUCCCUCAUUGUUACUAGUAUGGUGUACUUUAGCAUGAUAGUGGGAUUUUUAUUAUUAUAUUUUUACAAGAUCUUCUCAUUUCAAGAGAUGACUAUUAUUUGUAACAUUUUUAAUUUUAAAUUUUUUUUUCCUUUAAAAUGGAUGACAUUUACCUCACUUUAGAAAGAAAGGAAUGGGAAGGGAAUGUAAUAAAGUUCUAGGCACACAAAGAUAAGAGGGAAAUAUGUAUUUUCAGUGAAAAGAUAAGUAUCAUUAACUCUAGAAGAUGAAACAGGAUUUUUAAAUGCCUAAAGCAGAAAGAUUUGUAACGAUGAGAACCAGUAUGGAUAGAAGCUGGGGAUGUUUCAGAAAAUGUACUAAUAGGAGUGUAUAUAAGACCACCUGCAGUGCACAGUGUUCUGUGAAACAGAGAGAGAGGAAUCUUUCUGGGCCUGGUGCUAGAAAGCUUUUGUAUGAUUGCUGAGCCAAAUUCUUAAUGACUUUCUAAGGAAAGGAACAAUACUAAACUUGCCAUUAAGCAAUACAGGCAAGAUGACUGAAGACAAAAGUAAGGCUGAACUAGGAAAAAUAUCUCACUUAGACCUAUGGCAUCCAUCACGCUAGAAAAACCCGCACAAGAACUAGGCAACUGAGUUUCAAAACACAGAGUCUCCCGCUACUCUCCCCCUUUGGAAAUUGGGGACAGUGUGGUUUCACUACCAAGGAGGGAGUAAAGGAAUUGGGUCUCUAACACUGCAACUACCAAACCCCAUCAUGAAAUCCCACUAUGUUGCCGAGCUCACAAGAUUUUUAUUUGUUAAUGUCAGUAAACUUUGAUUUCACCACACACAAAAAAAAUAUUUCCAUUGAUAAUAAGUAAAAUUUACAGAUAGACAAAGUAAGAAAAAAGCUGCUUGAGAACUUACUGUAUUAGGGUUUGAUUUAAGGAUAUUUACUUUGAAUAUUUUGACAUGUGGUGUUGACAAUUUGUGUUUUAACAGUUAUAAAGCUUUAACUUUUUGAAUCUCAGUGUCUACUUAUAUUCAAUAAUUAUUGGUGGAACCCUCCCUGCCCCCCAAUAUCUGACUCCUCCAAAAUUUCCUGCAACUGUAAAUCAAUAAAAAUGGUGAAAAUUAAA